UAGACAGCUGUGGAGACUGAAGUCCUGUGUUCAUCCAUGGAACAGAUGUACAGUAUGGACAGUGAUAAGGCAAGCUUCCCCCAUGCCCCAGCCAAUCUGCUCCAAUGCUGACCUAGAGUAGCCACCACUUGUGAGAAUAUUUUCGGCACGGCUCCAUGUGUGGAGAAA
rnacentral:sRNA from 1 species